UAGUUGUAAUUCACGAUGCUGCUCCUUACCGUGUGAUAAUGGAGGUACCUGUGUUGAUCUACCUAAUGGUCAAUUUAAAUGUUAUUGUAAAACUGGCACAACGGGUGAAGUUUGUCAAUUUAAAACAGCUCCAUUUUUCUCUCAACCUGUAUCUGAUGGAGUAAUAAAGCCACAUGGUUUUUGUAACCCAAAUCCAUGCUUGCAGAAGGGCGUUUGUAUUGUAAAUAGAGGUGGCUAUGAUUGUGUAUGUUUGCAAAGAUAUACUGGGCCUCACUGUGAAGUUGAUAGAUGUGCAAAUUGUCACAAACAUGCACGCUGUGUUAAUGGAUUUUGUAAAUGUAAAAAAGGUUGGAUUGGGAAUGGUUUAAAUUGCA
rnacentral:lncRNA from 1 species